rnacentral:rRNA from 1 species
AUACGUAGGGUGCAAGCGUUAAUCGGAAUUACUGGGCGUAAAGCGUGCGCAGGCGGUUUUGUAAGACAGUGGUGAAAUCCCCGGGCUCAACCUGGGAACUGCCCUUGUGACUGCAAGGCUGGAGUGCGGCAGAGGGGGAUGGAAUUCCGCGUGUAGCAGUGAACUGCGUAGAUAUGCGGAGGAACACCGAUGGCGAAGGCAAUCCCCUGGGCCUGCACUGACGCUCAUGCACGAAAGCGUGGGGAGCAAACAGGAUUAGAUACCCUGGUAGUCCACGCCCUAAACGAUGUCAACUGGUUGCUGGGAAUUUAUUUUCUCAGUAACGAAGCUAACGCGUGAAGUUGACCGCCUGGGGAGUACGGCCGCAAGGUUAAAACUCAAAGGAAUUGACGGGG